AGGGGACAGCUUGGUUGGAGAAAGGUUAUGUAAAUAGGUUAAGUAUGAAUAAAAUUAAGAAUUAGCUUUAAAAAGGCCUCAUUCAGCUGUGUCAAGACUUUUUUUUGGAACUGACCGCGAAAAAAAUCAACAGCCUUGAGUAACAUAGGAGCACUCGGCUACACAGCAGAGAGUCUGGACCUAGUCUCCACUGGGUCAAGGUAAUCACAACCACAUAUGAUUUUGAUCUGAAUUUGGCAAAAAGAUGACAUAAAGGGAUACAAGAAAAGGCUAUUUUCUUUUGAAUCAAGAUGAAUUCAAGGAAGCUGGCUGUCAUGGGAACCCCAAGCAACAAACAUGAACUUCUGUUCUGUGGAUCUGUUAUCCGUGCACACAGAUCCCAGAGCUGGCUGCGCACUGCGGACCACUCACGCUGCCGAAUCUCCGAACUAGGGGUCCCUAAACAGGAGAACAGAGGGUAAGACUGAAGCUUGGACACCACACAAAACACGGGGAAAAACAAAACAAUCUACUCACGACGACAGACAGGAAGGCAGAGCCAUAUAAGGGAGUGGGGGAACGAGCGACAGGAUCUGCGCACCCCCGCCAUGAUCAGCGCUGAUUGCCCAGACCACGAGCUACCAAACAGACAGGACAACACAGACCACAGGGGAAGCCGAGAAGGCACCCUGCACCGUGACAAUAAGUGCAUAAACUACAAUGAAAACAAACACACAACCAAAAAUGUCUGACUUUCAAUCAAGUGACUAAAUUUGCACUGAGAAGAGAAGGAAAGAAAACAUGCUGCUCUGGGAUGUCAUUAACAAUAGAGUUUAACUUAACUUGCGACUCUAGUUCGCUUUUGGGAAACCCAUUCCUGAGCAAUCUGAAUUCAAUGCCGAAUCAAAGACUGUCAUCAAAAUGAUCGGCUUCAAUUACCUCAGGGCUCGCAGAAUCACUAGGAUGACGUCCUGGGACGAUUGUGCCUUUCAGUCGGGCUACCAAAAUGUAGCCCUGUCCGAUGGGGUUCCCAUGAGUGAAAAAUAAAAGGAAGAAAUCUCAAAAAGUCUUAAAUUUAGUUGCAUCACAGACAAGUUCAUAAAAAGUCUUAAAUAGCCUACCUUAAAUGGUAUAAGAAAAGUCUUAAUAAUAAUUUCUUGGGGUUUUAAAAAAAAGUGCUUUUCAGAGCACACUGUCUGUGCACUCAAACUGCAAUUUAUAUUAAAUAAAACAGCCACAUUUAUAUUUUGCACAUAUACUUAGAAGCAUUGAUUUUGUUUUAUUAAACACAUACGAAGCUUUGUUUUCACAAAUUCCAAUUUCAAUAGUCACAUAUCUAUACUCUCUUUCACAUUUGUCAUCCAGUAAGAAAAACCUGACCAAUAAAAUCUCUGUCUUUGUAUUAACAAGCUGUUGAAUGCUUCCUUAGACAAUCUAUUGAAAAUCUUUUCAAUAAAAUGUUUUUUUUAAAAAAAGAGAGAGAGAGAGAAAGGGUUCAAAUAUAUCAGUAUUUCAUCCAUUAUUUCAAACUUUAAAAGGCCAAUUUGUCUUAAAUGGCCAACUCAGG
ensembl:lncRNA